rnacentral:rRNA from 1 species
GGUUAAGCGACUAAGCGUACACGGUGGAUGCCCUGGCAGUCAGAGGCGAUGAAGGACGUGCUAAUCUGCGAUAAGCGUCGGUGAGGUGAUAUGAACCGUUAUAACCGGCGAUUUCCGAAUGGGGAAACCCAGUGUGUUUCGACACACUAUCAUUAACUGAAUCCAUAGGUUAAUGAGGCGAACCGGGGGAACUGAAACAUCUAAGUACCCCGAGGAAAAGAAAUCAACCGAGAUUCCCCCAGUAGCGGCGAGCGAACGGGGAGGAGCCCAGAGCCUGAAUCAGUGUGUGUGUUAGUGGAAGCGUCUGGAAAGGCGCGCGAUACAGGGUGACAGCCCCGUACACAAAAAUGCACAUGCUGUGAGCUCGAUGAGUAGGGCGGGACACGUGGUAUCCUGUCUGAAUAUGGGGGGACCAUCCUCCAAGGCUAAAUACUCCUGACUGACCGAUAGUGAACCAGUACCGUGAGGGAAAGGCGAAAAGAACCCCGGCGAGGGGAGUGAAAAAGAACCUGAAACCGUGUACGUACAAGCAGUGGGAGCCUCUUUAUGGGGUGACUGCGUACCUUUUGUAUAAUGGGUCAGCGACUUAUAUUCUGUAGCAAGGUUAACCGAAUAGGGGAGCCGAAGGGAAACCGAGUCUUAACUGGGCGUUAAGUUGCAGGGUAUAGACCCGAAACCCGGUGAUCUAGCCAUGGGCAGGUUGAAGGUUGGGUAACACUAACUGGAGGACCGAACCGACUAAUGUUGAAAAAUUAGCGGAUGACUUGUGGCUGGGGGUGAAAGGCCAAUCAAACCGGGAGAUAGCUGGUUCUCCCCGAAAGCUAUUUAGGUAGCGCCUCGUGAAUUCAUCUCCGGGGGUAGAGCACUGUUUCGGCAAGGGGGUCAUCCCGACUUACCAACCCGAUGCAAACUGCGAAUACCGGAGAAUGUUAUCACGGGAGACACACGGCGGGUGCUAACGUCCGUCGUGAAGAGGGAAACAACCCAGACCGCCAGCUAAGGUCCCAAAGUCAUGGUUAAGUGGGAAACGAUGUGGGAAGGCCCAGACAGCCAGGAUGUUGGCUUAGAAGCAGCCAUCAUUUAAAGAAAGCGUAAUAGCUCACUGGUCGAGUCGGCCUGCGCGGAAGAUGUAACGGGGCUAAACCAUGCACCGAAGCUGCGGCAGCGACACUAUGUGUUGUUGGGUAGGGGAGCGUUCUGUAAGCCUGUGAAGGUGGCCUGUGAGGGUUGCUGGAGGUAUCAGAAGUGCGAAUGCUGACAUAAGUAACGAUAAAGCGGGUGAAAAGCCCGCUCGCCGGAAGACCAAGGGUUCCUGUCCAACGUUAAUCGGGGCAGGGUGAGUCGACCCCUAAGGCGAGGCCGAAAGGCGUAGUCGAUGGGAAACAGGUUAAUAUUCCUGUACUUGGUGUUACUGCGAAGGGGGGACGGAGAAGGCUAUGUUGGCCGGGCGACGGUUGUCCCGGUUUAAGCGUGUAGGCUGGUUUUCCAGGCAAAUCCGGAAAACCAAGGCUGAGGCGUGAUGACGAGGCACUACGGUGCUGAAGCGACAAAUGCCCUGCUUCCAGGAAAAGCCUCUAAGCAUCAGGUAACAUCAAAUCGUACCCCAAACCGACACAGGUGGUCAGGUAGAGAAUACCAAGGCGCUUGAGAGAACUCGGGUGAAGGAACUAGGCAAAAUGGUGCCGUAACUUCGGGAGAAGGCACGCUGAUAUGUAGGUGAAGCGACUUGCUCGUGGAGCUGAAAUCAGUCGAAGAUACCAGCUGGCUGCAACUGUUUAUUAAAAACACAGCACUGUGCAAACACGAAAGUGGACGUAUACGGUGUGACGCCUGCCCGGUGCCGGAAGGUUAAUUGAUGGGGUUAGCGGCAACGCGAAGCUCUUGAUCGAAGCCCCGGUAAACGGCGGCCGUAACUAUAACGGUCCUAAGGUAGCGAAAUUCCUUGUCGGGUAAGUUCCGACCUGCACGAAUGGCGUAAUGAUGGCCAGGCUGUCUCCACCCGAGACUCAGUGAAAUUGAACUCGCUGUGAAGAUGCAGUGUACCCGCGGCAAGACGGAAAGACCCCGUGAACCUUUACUAUAGCUUGACACUGAACAUUGAGCCUUGAUGUGUAGGAUAGGUGGGAGGCUUUGAAGUGUGGACGCCAGUCUGCAUGGAGCCGACCUUGAAAUACCACCCUUUAAUGUUUGAUGUUCUAACGUUGGCCCGUAAUCCGGGUUGCGGACAGUGUCUGGUGGGUAGUUUGACUGGGGCGGUCUCCUCCUAAAGAGUAACGGAGGAGCACGAAGGUUGGCUAAUCCUGGUCGGACAUCAGGAGGUUAGUGCAAUGGCAUAAGCCAGCUUGACUGCGAGCGUGACGGCGCGAGCAGGUGCGAAAGCAGGUCAUAGUGAUCCGGUGGUUCUGAAUGGAAGGGCCAUCGCUCAACGGAUAAAAGGUACUCCGGGGAUAACAGGCUGAUACCGCCCAAGAGUUCAUAUCGACGGCGGUGUUUGGCACCUCGAUGUCGGCUCAUCACAUCCUGGGGCUGAAGUAGGUCCCAAGGGUAUGGCUGUUCGCCAUUUAAAGUGGUACGCGAGCUGGGUUUAGAACGUCGUGAGACAGUUCGGUCCCUAUCUGCCGUGGGCGCUGGAGAACUGAGGGGGGCUGCUCCUAGUACGAGAGGACCGGAGUGGACGCAUCACUGGUGUUCGGGUUGUCAUGCCAAUGGCACUGCCCGGUAGCUAAAUGCGGAAGAGAUAAGUGCUGAAAGCAUCUAAGCACGAAACUUGCCCCGAGAUGAGUUCUCCCUGACUCCUUGAGAGUCCUGAAGGAACGUUGAAGACGACGACGUUGAUAGGCCGGGUGUGUAAGCGCAGCGAUGCGUUGAGCUAACCGGUACUAAUGAACCGUGAGGCUUAACCUU